AAGUCGUAACAAGGUUUCCGUAGGUGAACCUGCGGAAGGAUCAUUGUCGUUGCCUCACAAUCAGUUCGACCGGUGAAUCUGUUUAUCAUCCACCCUCACCGGGGCCAGGUCGGGGUUGUUGUUCUCGAACACGCACCUCGUCCUUCCUCGGAUUGGCGGGAGGUGGUCGCCUCGUGCUGCCCUCCUCCCGUCGAACAAAAACCCCGGCGCUUCGUGUGCCAAGGAAUUUGAAAUUGUUCGGUGCAAUUUUCGCGGACCCGGAGACGGUGAUCUCGCGGACCUUGCCACGACACACGUUACAAAAUGACUCUCGGCAACGGAUAUCUCGGCUCUUGCAUCGAUGAAGAACGUAGCGAAAUGCGAUACUUGGUGUGAAUUGCAGAAUCCCGUGAACCAUCGAGUCUUUGAACGCAAGUUGCGCCCGAAGCCAUUAGGUUGAGGGCACGCCUGCCUGGGUGUCACACAUCGUUACCCUAAAGCAAACGCCUCAUGUGCGUGUGCAGGGUGGAAGCUGACCUCCCGUGGGCCACGACUCGCGGCUGGUUGAAAAUGGAGUUCAUGGUUGAGAAUGCCGUGAUAAAAUGGUGGAUGAGCGUCGCUCGAGACCAAUCGCGUGCGACUCGGUCAAUUUUGGACUCUUUCGACCCAAUUGCGUCCACGGACGCUCCCAACGAGACCUCAGGUCAGGCGGGGCCACCCGCUGAGUUUAA
rnacentral:rRNA from 1 species